rnacentral:snoRNA from 1 species
UAACACAUUCUACAGUAGGAUCAUUUCUAUAGGAAUCGUCACUCUUUGACUCUUCAAAAGAGCCACUGAAUCCAACUUGGUUGAUGAGCCCCAUAACCUUUGUACCCCAGAGUGAGGAACUAAAAUUAAAUCUAAAUUAGCUUGGUCCGCAAUCCUUAGCGGUUCGGCCAUCUAUAAUUUUGAAUCAAAAUUUUGCUUUGCCGUUGCAUUUGUAAUUUCUUCUUCGGAAGUUAUUACGAUAUAAAAUGGCGCGAUGAUCUUGACCCAUCCUAUGUACUUCCUUUUUGGAAGGGAUAGGGCUUCAUGGGUGGGUACAAAUGGCAGUCUGACAAGU